rnacentral:rRNA from 1 species
UGGGGAAUUUUGGACAAUGGGGGCAACCCUGAUCCAGCAAUGCCGCGUGUGUGAAGAAGGCCUUCGGGUUGUAAAGCACUUUUGUCCGGAAAGAAAUCCUUGGCUCUAAUACAGUCGGGGGAUGACGGUACCGGAAGAAUAAGCACCGGCUAACUACGUGCCAGCAGCCGCGGUAAUACGUAGGGUGCAAGCGUUAAUCGGAAUUACUGGGCGUAAAGCGUGCGCAGGCGGUUUGCUAAGACCGAUGUGAAAUCCCCGGGCUCAACCUGGGAACUGCAUUGGUGACUGGCAGGCUAGAGUAUGGCAGAGGGGGGUAGAAUUCCACGUGUAGCAGUGAAAUGCGUAGAGAUGUGGAGGAAUACCGAUGGCGAAGGCAGCCCCCUGGGCCAAUACUGACGCUCAUGCACGAAAGCGUGGGGAGCAAAACAGGAUUAGAUACCCUGGUAGUCCACGCCCUAAAACGAUGUCAACUAGUUGUUGGGGAUUCAUUUCCUUAGUAACGUAGCUAACGCGUGAAGUUGACCGCCUGGGGAGUACGGUCGCAAGAUUAAAACUUAAAUGAAUUGACGGGGUCAUAGCUGUUUCCU